CAUGUACUGUAUGUGGAGCAGUGUACGGUGAAAACCGAGGCUCUGCUGAGUGCUCUUCUCUUCACUUUCACAUAGAGAAACACUGACUGGCCACUGAAACAUACACACACACAGACACACAGAGAGGUCACUAUCACAUGACAAAGGCUUCGAGACAGCUUCAUCUUCCUCUGUCUGUAAUUUCCAUUUGCCUUCCUGGGUGAUCUGCUGGAGAGGGGGCCUAAAUACUAACAACAGCACUGAAACAUCGCCAACACUGGAGUGGAAAGUGACUGUCAUCUUGCAUACAACACACAAUGUAACAAUGUGAGGAUAGGAAAUUUCGGCCAACAGAAUUGAGGGGUUUGCUCUGCUGCCAGUCACCAUAGUAUCUGAGUGCCUUCCACACAGAAUGAAGAGCAAUAGUGGAGACCCUAGCACACUAUUUUUGGGGUUUCAGUCUCUUGUGAUGUCAUAAUCCUACUAGUUCUCCAGGCUGCCGAGACACUUCACCCAGCAGCAGGUAAGA